rnacentral:lncRNA from 14 species
AUUCCCUUUGACUCAACUGCUGUGACUGUCACUGCGGUUCAUCAUCAUCACCAUCAAAUGGUUUGGGUUGGAAGGGACCUUAAAGCUCCUCCAGCCCCAACCCCUGCCACGGGCAGGGACCCCUUCCACUGGAGCAGCUGCUCCAAGCCCCUGUGUCCAGCCUGGCCUUGAACACUGCAAACUCACCCAUCUUGCCGAAUGCUGAAAGGUUGGGCCUGAUGAUCUUCAGGGUCCUUUCCAACCUGGGCUAUUCCAUGGUUCUGUGUUUGCUAAACCACGUCUUUUUCACAGGACACUUGACUUCGCUGACAGCCCUGAAUCUGAGACACUGUCCCAUUGAAUUUCCUCCUAAAGAGGUCAUACAAAAGGGAUUAAAAACCAUCCUGUCCUUUCUUCGGGACUCUGGGAAUGGAACACUACCCUGCAUGGAGACAGCCACAUCAGACACCCAAAAACGUACCAUAUGCACCUGAUAACAUCAGUCACCACACCGUGAAUAAGAGAGCUGAGAAACAGGACCCUGCACCUUAGACAGUGGAAGAAUGGAUGCUGGAAGUAAAGGGUGAAGCUACAAGGUGAGUGCUGAAACUGUUGCUACAUAAUGCAAUUGAUGACUUCCAUUUAUUUUGUCAUUAUGAAAGUAUUCAUUUCACUUUUGCUAUCCUAUCAAGUAAAGAAAUCUUGCACCCCAGUAAAGAAGCAUUGUGGUUAAAGGAGAAAUAAAAAGGCAACUCAAUUCCA